GCCUGGCUGGCUCAGUUGGAGGAGCAUGUGACUCUUGAUCUCGGGGGUCAUGAGUUCAAGCCCCAUGCUGGGUG
rnacentral:tRNA from 1 species